UACGUAGGGUGCGAGCGUUAAUCGGAAUUACUGGGCGUAAAGCGUGCGCAGGCGGUUUUGUAAGCCAGAUGUGAAAUCCCCGGGCUUAACCUGGGAAUGGCAUUUGGGACUGCAAGGCUUGAGUGCGGCAGAGGAGACUGGAAUUCCUGGUGUAGCAGUGAAAUGCGUAGAUAUCAGGAGGAACACCGGUGGCGAAGGCGGGUCUCUGGACAGCAACUGACGCUGAGGCACGAAGGCCAGGGGAGCAAACGGG
rnacentral:rRNA from 1 species